rnacentral:rRNA from 1 species
GACGAACGCUGGCGGCGUGCCUAAUACAUGCGAGUUGAGCGAUGAAGAUUGGUGCUUGCACCAAUUUGAAGAGCAGCGAACGGGUGAGUAACGCGUGGGGAAUCUGCCUUUGAGCGGGGGACAACAUUUGGAAACGAAUGCUAAUACCGCAUAACAACUUUAAACAUAAGUUUUAAGUUUGAAAGAUGCAAUUGCAUCACUCAAAGAUGAUCCCGCGUUGUAUUAGCUAGUUGGUGAGGUAAAGGCUCACCAAGGCGAUGAUACAUAGCCGACCUGAGAGGGUGAUCGGCCACAUUGGGACUGAGACACGGCCCAAACGCCUACGGGAGGCAGCAGUAGGGAAUCUUCGGCAAUGGACGAAAGUCUGACCGAGCAACGCCGCGUGAGUGAAGAAGGGUUUCGGAUCGUAAAACUCUGUUGGUAGAGAAGAACGUUGGUGAGAGUGGAAAGCUCAUCAAGUGACGGUAACUACCCAGAAAGGGACGGCUAACUACGUG